GGGGAAUUUUGGACAAUGGGCGCAGGCCUGAUCCAGCCAUGCCGCGUGUCUGAAGAAGGCCUUCGGGUUGUAAAGGACUUUUGUCAGGGAAGAAAAGGCUGUCGCUAAUACCGACAGUUGAUGACGGUACCUGAAGAAUAAGCACCGGCUAACUACGUGCCAGCAGCCGCGGUAAUACGUAGGGUGCGAGCGUUAAUCGGAAUUACUGGGCGUAAAGCGAGCGCAGACGGUUACUUAAGCAGGAUGUGAAAUCCCCGGGCUCAACCUGGGAACUGCGUUCUGAACUGGGUGACUAGAGUGUGUCAGAGGGAGGUAGAAUUCCACGUGUAGCAGUGAAAUGCGUAGAGAUGUGGAGGAAUACCGAUGGCGAAGGCAGCCUCCUGGGAUAACACUGACGUUCAUGCUCGAAAGCGUGGGUAGCAAACAGGAUUAGAUACCCUGGUAGUCCACGCCCUAAACGAUGUCAAUUAGCUGUUGGGCGACUUGAUUGCUUAGUAGCGUAGCUAACGCGUGAAGUUGACCGCCUGGGGAGUACGGUCGCAAGAUUA
rnacentral:rRNA from 1 species